ACCGGCUUAGCUCAACUGGUAGAGCACCAGACCUUUGUUGGGCUAUCUGGAGGUUGCGGGUUCGACCCUCGUAGCUGGGU